rnacentral:tRNA from 1 species
UUAAUUGAAGCCAAAAAGAGGCCUAUCACUGUUAAUGAUAAAAUUGAAUUAUUCCGAUUAAA